rnacentral:rRNA from 1 species
UAACACAUGCAAGUCGAACGGCAGCACGGGAGCAAUCCUGGUGGCGAGUGGCGAACGGGUGAGUAAUACAUCGGAACGUGCCCAAUCGUGGGGGAUAACGCAGCGAAAGCUGUGCUAAUACCGCAUGAGAUCUACGGAUGAAAGCAGGGGACCGCAAGGCCUUGCGCGAAUGGAGCGGCCGAUGGCAGAUUAGGUAGUUGGUGAGGUAAAGGCUCACCAAGCCUGCGAUCUGUAGCUGGUCUGAGAGGACGACCAGCCACACUGGGACUGAGCACGGGCCCAAGACUCCUACGGGAGGCAGCAGUGGGGAAUUUUGGACAAUGGGCGCAAGCCUGAUCCAGCCAUGCCGCGUGCAGGAUGAAGGCCUUCGGGUUGUAAACUGCUUUUGUACGGAACGAAAAGGCUUUCUCUAAUAAAGGGAGCUCAUGACGGUACCGUAAGAAUUAGCCAUUAG